rnacentral:rRNA from 1 species
AUGGAUAACUGUGGUAAUUCUAGAGCUAAUACAUGCACCAAAGCUCUGCCCCCUCGGGGAAGAGUGCAUUUAUUAGAGCAAAACCAGGCGGCCUCCGGGCCGUUCCUCGUUGACUCAGAAUAACUCUAGCUGAUCGCAUGGUCCUCGUACCGGCGACGUGUCUUUCAAGUGUCUGCCUUAUCAACUUUCGAUGGUAGUGUAUCUGACUACCAUGGUUGUGACGGGUAACGGAGGAUAAGGGUUCAACUCCGGAGAAGGGGCCUGAGAAAUGGCCACUACGUCUAAGGAUGGCAGCAGGCGCGCAAAUUACCCACUCUCGGCAAGAGGAGGUAGUGACGAAAAAUAACGAGACCGUUCUCACAAGAGGCCGGUCAUCGGAAUGGGUACAAUCUAAACCCUUUAACGAGUAUCUAUGAGAGGGCAAGUCUGGUGCCAGCAGCCGCGGUAAUUCCAGCUCUCAAAAUGCAUAGAACCAUUGCUGCGGUUAAAAAGCUCGUAGUUGGAUCUGCGCCGGUGGGCAAGUCCCCUCCGUGUGGGGCGGCACUUGCUCCCGCCGGCUAGUUGACGGAUGUGGCGGCGGGUGGCCGUUCGCGGUGCCCGCUCGCUAGCCGUCGUUUUACUUUGAACAAAUCAGAGUGCUCAGCACAGGCGUCUCGCCUGAAUGUUCGUGCAUGGAAUAAUAGAAGAGGAUUUCGGUCCUAUUUUAUUGGUUUUGAGGACUGAGAUAAUGGUUAACAGAGACAAACGGGGGCAUUCGUAUUGCUGCGUGAGAGGUGAAAUUCUUGGACCGCAGCAAGACGGACAACAGCGAAAGCAUUUGCCAAGAAUGUCUUCAUUAAUCAAGAACGAAAGUCAGAGGUUCGAAGGCGAUCAGAUACCGCCCUAGUUCUGACCGUAAACGAUGCCAACUAGCGAUCCGCCGGCGGAUUCCAAACGCCCUGGUGGGGAGCUUCCCGGAAACGAAAGUCUUCCGGUUCCGGGGGAAGUAUGGUUGCAAAGCUGAAACUUAAAGGAAUUGACGGAAGGGCACCACCAGGAGUGGAGCCUGCGGCUUAAUUUGACUCAACACGGGAAAACUCACCCGGCCCGGACACCGCGAGGAUUGACAGAUUGAUAGCUCUUUCAUGAUUCGGUGGAUGGUGGUGCAUGGCCGUUCUUAGUUCGUGGAGCGAUUUGUCUGGUUUAUUCCGAUAACGAGCGAGACUCUAGCCUACUAACUAGUCCGCAUGUUCGCUUGUUGCAUGCUUGGGACUUCUUAGAGGGAUUUUCGGCGUUUCAGCCGCACGAAACUGAGCAAUAACAGGUCUGUGAUGCCCUUAGAUGUCCGGGGCUGCACGCGCGCUACACUGGCGAAAUCAGCGUGCCUGUCCUCUCGCGAAAGCGACCGGUAAACCGGUGAAAAUUCGCCGUGAUUGGGAUCGGAAAUUGCAAUUAUUUUCCGUGAACGAGGAAUUCCAAGUAAGUGCGAGUCAUCAACUCGCGUUGAUUACGUCCCUGCCCUUUGUACACACCGCCCGUCGCUGCCCGAGACUGAGCCAUUUCGAGAAAUUUGGGGAUUGCCGGCCGUCGAGGUGGCAACACCUCCCGGCCGGUGAAAACCAACUUAAUCGCAGUGGCUUGAAUCGGGC